UACGGAGGAUGCAAGCGUUAUCCGGAAUGAUUGGGCGUAAAGCGUCCGCAGGUGGCUAUGUAAGUCUGCUGUUAAAGAGUGAGGCUCAACCUCAUAAGAGCAGUGGAAACUACAUGGCUAGAGUGCGUUCGGGGCAGAGGGAAUUCCUGGUGUAGCGGUGAAAUGCGUAGAUAUCGGGAAGAACACCAGUGGCGAAGGCGCUCUACUGGGCCACAACUGACGCUGAGGGACGAAAGCUAGGGGAGCGAAAGGG
rnacentral:rRNA from 1 species